AUUGAACGCUGGCGGCAUGCCUUACACGUGCAAGUCGAACGGUAACAGGUCUUCGGAUGCUGACGAGUGGCGAACGGGUGAGUAAUACAUCGGAACGUGCCUAGUAGUGGGGGAUAACUACUCGAAAGAGUGGCUAAUACCGCAUGAGAUCUACGGAUGAAAGCAGGGGAUCGCAAGACCUUGUGCUACUAGAGCGGCCGAUGGCAGAUUAGGUAGUUGGUGGGAUAAAAGCUUACCAAGCCGACGAUCUGUAGCUGGUCUGAGAGGACGAUCAGCCACACUGGGACUGAGACACGGCCCAGACUCCUACGGGAGGCAGCAGUGGGGAAUUUUGGACAAUGGGCGCAAGCCUGAUCCAGCAAUGCCGCGUGCAGGAUGAAGGCCUUCGGGUUGUAAACUGCUUUUGUACGGAACGAAAAGCCCCGGGUUAAUACCCUGGGGUCAUGACGGUACCGUAAGAAUAAGCACCGGCUAACUACGUGCCAGCAGCCGCAGUAACAC
rnacentral:rRNA from 1 species